rnacentral:rRNA from 1 species
GAGUUUGAUCCUGGCUCAGAUUGAACGCUGGCGGCAGGCUUAACACAUGCAAGUCGAGCGGUAACAGGAGAAGCUUGCUUCUCGCUGACGAGCGGCGGACGGGUGAGUAAUACUUAGGAAUCUGCCCAGUAGUGGGGGAUAGCUCGGGGAAACUCGAAUUAAUACCGCAUACACCCUACGGGGAAAAGGGGGCUGCUUGCAGCUCUCGCUAUUGGAUGAGCCUAAGUCGGAUUAGCUAGUUGGUGGGGUAAAGGCCUACCAAGGCGACGAUCUGUAGCUGGUCUGAGAGGAUGAUCAGCCACACCGGAACUGAGACACGGUCCGGACUCCUACGGGAGGCAGCAGUGGGGAAUAUUGGACAAUGGGGGCAACCCUGAUCCAGCCAUGCCGCGUGUGUGAAGAAGGCCUUUUGGUUGUAAAGCACUUUAAGCUUGCGAAGACUCUAUGGUUAAUACCCAUAGACGAGAAUUAGCUGCAGAAUAAGCACCGGCUAACUCUGUGCCAGCAGCCGCGGUAAUACAGAGGGUGCAAGCGUUAAUCGGAUUACUGGGCGUAAAGCGAGCGUAGGUGGCUUGAUAAGUCAGAUGUGAAUCCCCGGGCUUAACCUGGGAACUGCAUCUGAUACUGUCAGGCUAGAGUAGGUGAGAGGGAGGUAGAAUUUCAGGUGUAGCGGUGAAAUGCGUAGAGAUCUGAAGGAAUACCGAUGGCGAAGGCAGCCUCCUGGCAUCAUACUGACACUGAGGCUCGAAAGCGUGGGUAGCAAACAGGAUUAGAUACCCUGGUAGUCCACGCCGUAAACGAUGUCUACUAGUCGUUGGGGAACUUGAUUCCUUAGUGACGCAGCUAACGCAAUAAGUAGACCGCCUGGGGAGUACGGCCGCAAGGUUAAAACUCAAAUGAAUUGACGGGGGCCGCACAAGCGGUGGAGCAUGUGGUUUAAUUCGAUGCAACGCGAAGACCUUACCUGGUCUUGACAUAUCUAGAUCCUGCAGAGAUGCGGGAGUGCUUCGGGAAUUAGAAUACAGGUGCUGCAUGGCUGUCGUCAGCUCGUGUCGUGAGAUGUUGGGUUAAGUCCCGCAACGAGCGCAACCCUUUUCCUUAGUUACCAGCGGGUUAUGCCGGGAACUCUAAGGAUACUGCCAGUGACAAACUGGAGGAAGGCGGGGACGACGUCAAGUCAUCAUGGCCCUUACGACCAGGGCUACACACGUGCUACAAUGGUAGGUACAGAGGGCAGCUACACAGCGAUGUGAUGCGAAUCUCAAAAAGCCUAUCGUAGUCCAGAUUGGAGUCUGCAACUCGACUCCAUGAAGUCGGAAUCGCUAGUAAUCGCGGAUCAGAAUGCCGCGGUGAAUACGUUCCCGGGCCUUGUACACACCGCCCGUCACACCAUGGGAGUUGAUUGCACCAGAAGUGGGUAGCCUAACUUAGGAGGGCGCUCACCACGGUGUGGUGAUGACUGGGGUGAAGUCGUAACAAGGUAGCCGUAGGGGACCUGCGGCUGGUCA